rnacentral:rRNA from 1 species
CUUCGGGUUGUAAAGCUCAAAAGGGGUGAGAAAGGGCAACUUGAUCGAACCCCAGUAAGCUCGGGCUAAGUUCGUGCCAGCAGCCGCGGUAAGACGAACCGAGCGAACGUUGUUCGGAAUCACUGGGCUUAAAGGGCGCGUAGGCGGGUGUUCAAGUCCGGGGUGAAAUCCCACAGCUCAACUGUGGAACUGCCUUGGAUACUGGGCACCUCGAGGGUGGUAGGGGUAUGCGGAACUAUCGGUGGAGCGGUGAAAUGCGUUGAUAUCGAUAGGAACUCCGGUGGCGAAGGCGGCAUACUGGACCACAUCUGACGCUGAGGCGCGAAAGCCAGGGGAGCGAACGGGAUUAGAUACCCCGGUAGUCCUGGCCCUAAACGAUGGGUACUAGCUAGUAGGGUUCACAUGGCUUUACUGGCGAAGCAAAAGUGCUAAGUACCCCGCCUGGGGAGUAUGGUCGCAAGGCUGAAACUCAAAGGAAUUGACGGGGGCUCACACAAGCGGUGGAGCAUGUGGCUUAAUUCGAGGCUACGCGAAGAACCUUAUCCCAGACUUGACAUGUGCGAUAGCGGUGGGCGGUAACUCCCGGAAACGGGGUGUGAUCCCUCGCAAGAGGGGGACCCACUACAGGUGCUGCAUGGCUGUCGUCAGCCCGUGUCGUGAGAUGUCGGGUUAAGUCCCAUAACGAGCGAAACCCUUACCU